CUUCUCAUUUAUUUCCUGCUCUAGUCUUUCAGUGAUCUGAGCAGUUAUAUGCAAGGGAUAAACCAACAUUGUGACAGUGUAAAUUGAGAUGAAGUAUCCAUUUUAUCUCACCUGCAUGGCUAGUUGGUA